rnacentral:lncRNA from 1 species
AUUUUACACAAAUCUUUAUUUUACUGUUUAAAAUAAACCACAAUAACCCAAACAAUCAAAACACCAAAAACUAGAAUCCAAAAAAAAAAACGAAUCAUUAAUGAUCACAUCUCUUUUCGUCUAAUCUUACAAAUAAACUUCAAAACAAAUAUACCAAACCAAUCAACUCAACUAAAACUCAACGACACAUACAUUAUGCCAUCUAAACAAAUAUAAACUACACAACCAAAUAUUUAACAAUUUACAAACUUACUUUCACAGAUGCUUACGAAGAAGACAAAGACGACAACCAAGACCAC